rnacentral:rRNA from 1 species
AACGAACGCUGGCGGCGCGCCUAAUACAUGCAAGUCGAACGAGAAGGUGUAGCAAUACACUUGUACAGUGGCGAACGGGUGAGGAAUGCAUGGGCAACCUACCCUCGAGUGGGGAAUAACCAGCCGAAAGGUUGGCUAAUACCGCGUACGCUUCCGGGUCUCCGGAUCCGGAAGGAAAGUCACACCGUGGGUGUGACGCUCAAGGAUGGGCUCAUGUCCUAUCAGCUUGNGGUGAGGUAACGGCUCACCAAGGCAACGACGGUAGCUGGUCUGAGAGGACGAUCAGCCACACUGGCACUGCGACACGGGCCAGACUCCUACGGGAGCAGCAAGUAAGGAUAAUUGCGCAAUGGGCAAAAGCCUGACGCAGCGACGCCGCGUGGGGGAU